AUUGAACGCUGGCGGCAGGCCUAACACAUGCAAGUCGAGCGGUAGAGAGGUGCUUGCAUCUCUUGAGAGCGGCGGACGGGUGAGUAAUGCCUAGGAAUCUGCCCUAGUGGUGGGGGAUAACGUUCGGAAACGGACGCUAAUACCGCAUACGUCCUACGGGAGAAAGCGGGGGAUCUUCGGACCUCGCGCCAUUAGAUGAGCCUAGGUCGGAUUAGCUAGUUGGUGAGGUAAUGGCUCACCAAGGCGACGAUCCGUAACUGGUCUGAGAGGAUGAUCAGUCACACUGGAACUGAGACACGGUCCAGACUCCUACGGGAGGCAGCAGUGGGGAAUAUUGGACAAUGGGCGAAAGCCUGAUCAGCCAUGCCGCGUGUGUGAAGAAGGUCUUCGGAUUGUAAAGCACUUUAAGUUGGAGGAAGGGCGAGUAAGUUAA
rnacentral:rRNA from 1 species